AUCAAGUACCGCGAGAGUUUGGGAAAGCCCCGGAAAAGGUUUGAACUCGCGGUACUUGAUGUCACGAUCGGUUUGCGCGUAGAUCAGCAUGAAGUCAAACACAUCUGAGAGAUAUGUGGGCUGCCUGCACUCAACGUUGCGAUCAUUCAAUAGAUUGUAACCUCGUGUAGAACGAUCACAGAACGAUUUUUUGUUCUUUUCCAACUCGAUUUUUAACUCCCUAAACUAGUAGGAUGUUCCAACGGGUGAAGCAACAGUGCUGACGGCAGUUUCAGUGUCAAGUUUUCAUGCCAUGACCACUGGGGCGGAAACCAUUAUGACAUUGCCUUGGACAUCAAACUAAACCAUCUCAUUCUGGCUUUUGAGGUGGACUCUAACCUCGAAAUCUCAGAAGGACAGGUCUAAGACAGGUCUCCAUAGGAUGCAACCUUGCAUUUGAGAAACACCCAUAGAACGGAGAAAGUCAUGGGUUCUGCUGCUGAGGUUGUCAUAAACGUCUUUUAUUCUGCUUACCUGACUCAUGCAGAAUUCUGGCUUGAUGUUUGGUCCACCUGUUAGCUGGCUCUGGUGCUUGGUAGUCUUCUCAAACCUCUGAAUCAAGACCACCAUGAGAGGCCUUCUGAAGACCAUCAUUACGCUUCAGAUCCAGUUGUCUUUACUAUGAGCCUACCACAAUCCCUGUGCACCAGCUAUGGAAAGUGCAGACCAAACUUCUACCUCCACCUAUAGAACUGAACUGGAGUCUGUGAACUAAUGCUGUGUUCGAGACAACUUGGAUGUUGGAUAUUAUUGACCUCAAACCCGUAAGAAGU